GGGCAGCAUUCUUCUAGCAAUAGAAGAGAUGGCGACCGGCGCACGGGUGAGUAACACGUAUCCAACCUGCCGAUAACUCCGGGAUAGCCUUUCGAAAGAAAGAUUAAUACCGGAUAGUAUACGAAUAUCGCAUGAUAUUUCUAUUAAAGAAUUUCGGUUAUCGAUGGGGAUGCGUUCCAUUAGUUUGUUGGCGGGGUAACGGCCCACCAAGACUACGAUGGAUAGGGGUUCUGAGAGGAAGGUCCCCCACAUUGGAACUGAGACACGGUCCAAACUCCUACGGGAGGCAGCAGUGAGGAAUAUUGGUCAAUGGACGAGAGCCUGAACCAGCCAAGUAGCGUGAAGGAUGAAGGCUCUAUGGGUCGUAAACUUCUUUUAUAUGGGAAUAAAGUUUUCCACGUGUGGAAUUUUGUAUGUACCAUAUGAAUAAGGAUCGGCUAACUCCGUGCCAGCAGCCGCGGUAAUACGGAGGAUCCGAGCGUUAUCCGGAUUUAUUGGGUUUAAAGGGAGCGUAGGUGGAUUGUUAAGUCAGUUGUGAAAGUUUGCGGCUCAACCGUAAAAUUGCAGUUGAAACUGGCAGUCUUGAGUACAGUAGAGGUGGGCGGAAUCGUGUUAGCGUGA
rnacentral:rRNA from 1 species